rnacentral:lncRNA from 1 species
GUUUUCAAUAUUUUCAACAAUUGAUGAUAGGAGGGGGUUUUGGCAUGUUUCCAAUACCCAAUCAGCCAAAGGGAAAAGCUGCUGUGUUAUGGAAGCACUAUUGUUUGAACAAGGGUGACUGAGGAAACAAUAUAUGGUCACUUGGUCUUCUCCUGACUGGCAUUAAAACACUUGCCAAAGUGGGGCGACCGUCUGGCUGUGCGGGACGUAUCAAGUUCGCAGUCAUGUCCGGUCAGAAUGGGG